rnacentral:rRNA from 1 species
CAAGAGCGUAUGUAAAAGUUGUUGCAGUUAAAAAGCUCGUAGUUGAACCUUGGGUUUGGUUGGCCGGUCCGCUUUUUUGCGAGUACUGGAUUCAACCGAGCCUUUCCUUCUGGCUAACCAGUCGUUUCGGCGGCUGGCGAACCAGGAUUUUUACUUUGAGAAAAUUAGAGUGUUCAAAGCAGGCAUUAGCUUGAAUAUAUUAGCAUGGAAUAAUAGAAUAGGACGUUAUGGUUCUAUUUUGUUGGUUUCUAGGACCAUCGUAAUGAUUAAUAGGGACGGUCGGGGGCAUCAGUAUUCAGUUGUCAGAGGUGAAAUUCUUGGAUUUACUGAAGACUAACUACUGCGAAAGCAUUUGCCAAGGACGUUUUCAUCAA